CAACACCAAAUUUCAUAGUCUCGUAUAUGCUUGGGGAUCUGGCCCGAGCGUCUCUACCCGGCAACCGGAAAUUGCCGGACUACGAGUUGAAAGCGAAUCUAG
rnacentral:ncRNA from 1 species